rnacentral:rRNA from 1 species
UACGUAGGGGGCAAGCGUUGUCCGGAAUCAUUGGGCGUAAAGAGCGUGUAGGCGGCCCGGUAAGUCCGCUGUGAAAGUCCAGGGCUCAACCCUGGAAUGCCGGUGGAAACUGUCAGGCUCGAGUCCGGAAGAGGCGAGUGGAAUUCCUGGUGUAGCGGUGAAAUGCGCAGAUAUCAGGAGGAACACCAAUGGCGAAGGCAGCUCGCUGGGACGGUACUGACGCUGAGACGCGAAAGCGUGGGGAGCAAACAGG